AUGAAGCCCUUCGGGGUGGAUUAGUGGCGAACGGGUGAGUAACACGUGGGCAAUCUGCCCUUCACUCUGGGACAAGCCCUGGAAACGGGGUCUAAUACCGGAUAACACUUCCGUCCUCCUGGACGGUGGUUAAAAGCUCCGGCGGUGAAGGAUGAGCCCGCGGCCUAUCAGCUUGUUGGUGAGGUAAUGGCUCACCAAGGCGACGACGGGUAGCCGGCCUGAGAGGGCGACCGGCCACACUGGGACUGAGACACGGCCCAGACUCCUACGGGAGGCAGCAGUGGGGAAUAUUGCACAAUGGGCGAAAGCCUGAUGCAGCGACGCCGCGUGAGGGAUGACGGCCUUCGGGUUGUAAACCUCUUUCAGCAGGGAAGAAGCGAAAGUGACGGUACCUGCAGAAGAAGCGCCGGCUAACUACGUGCCAGCAGCCGCGGUAAUACGUAGGGCGCAAGCGUUGUCCGGAAUUAUUGGGCGUAAAGAGCUCGUAGGCGGCUUGUCACGUCGGUUGUGAAAGCCCGGGGCUUAACCCCGGGUCUGCAGUCGAUACGGGCAGGCUAGAGUGUGGUAGGGGAGAUCGGAAUUCCUGGUGUAGCGGUGAAAUGCGCAGAUAUCAGGAGGAACACCGGUGGCGAAGGCGGAUCUCUGGGCCAUUACUGACGCUGAGGAGCGAAAGCGUGGGGAGCGAACAGGAUUAGAUACCCUGGUAGUCCACGCCGUAAACGGUGGGAACUAGGUGUUGGCGACAUUCCACGUCGUCGGUGCCGCAGCUAACGCAUUAAGUUCCCCGCCUGGGGAGUACGGCCGCAAGGCUAAAACUCAAAGGAA
rnacentral:rRNA from 1 species